UAAAUUAAUUUAGUAUGUUUAAGUAAUUUAUAAUAAAUAAAAUAAUAUUAAAUAUUAAAAUGUUGGAGUAUUAAUUUAGAAAUAAUUUAUUUAAUUAAAAAAGUAAUGAAAAUGAAAAUUGUUAAAAAGUAAAAAAAUAGAUUUUAUUUAUUGUACCUUUUGUAUCAGGGUUAAUUAAAUAAAAUAUUUAAAUAAAAUAUUUCUCGAAUUUAAAAGAUUUAAUUAAAAAUGUUAGUUAAUGUUGAAAUAUUAUUAAUAAUUUUUAGUUAGAAGUGAAAUAUUAAUCGAUUUUAAAGAUAUCUAGUUUUUUUAGAAAUGAAUAUAAUUCAGCAUUAUAAAUUAUAUAUUUGUUUAAUUGUAAAAAAUUAUUAAAAAUUUAUAAAUUUAUAAGGUAAGUAUUUUUGGGAUAAGCUAGGAAUAUAUAAAUAAUUUUUUUAUAUAAGUUAUAUAAAUAUUCAUGAAAUUUGAAUUUUUUAAAAAAAAUGUUAUAAUUUAUAAUAAUAUAAAUUUUAAUUUAUAAAUAAAAUUUUUAAUUGUAUAAAAAAAAUAUAUUAAAUAAUAAAAUUAUAUGAUAUAAUGAUUAAAUUAGUAAAUUUUUAAAAUAUGUAUGAUAAAUUAUUGAAGGUAAAAUUUAUUUUAAGGAAUUCGACAAUUUUUUUUUGAAAAAUAAAAUAUGUAUUCACCUGUUUAUCAAAAACAUGUCCUAUUAGAUAAUAAUAUUAGGUCUAUUCUGCCCAUUGAUGGAAUAUUAAAAGGCUGCAGUAUAUUGACUGUACAAAGGUAGCAUAAUCAAUAGUUUUUUAAUUGGAAACUGGAAUGAAAGAGUGGAUGAGAUAUAAAUUGUCUCAAGAUAAUAUAUUGAAUUUAAAUUAAAAGUAAAAAUGCUUUUAUGAAAUUAUUAGACGAGAAGACCCUAUAGAAUUUAAUAAAAUUUAUUUUUUAAGUAUUUUAUGUUAUAAUUGCUUAAUAAGUAAUUAUAUUUUAUUGGGAGGAUAUUUAAAUUUAACUAACUUUAAUUAAAGUAAACAUUAAUUAAUGAAUUUGUUGAUUAUUAUUAUAAUUAUAAGAAUAAAUUACCUUAGGGAUAACAGCGUAAUAAUUUUGGAGAGUUCAUAUCGAUAAAAUUGUUUGCGACCUCGAUGUUGAAUUAUGAUAAAAAUUAGAUGGAGAUAUCUAAAAUUUUAGUCUGUUCGACUAUUAAAAUCAUACAUGAUUUGAGUUCAGAUCGGCGCAAGCCAGAUCGGUUUCUAUCUAUAGUAUAAAUAAAUAUUUUAUUGUACGAAAGGACUUAAAAUAUUAAAAAUUUUAUAUAAAUUAAUUAUUUAAUAUAGUUUUAUAUUAAAAAAUUGAUUUUGAAUUAAAUUAAUUUAU
rnacentral:rRNA from 1 species